GACGAACGCUGGCGGCGUGCUUAACACAUGCAAGUCGAACGGUGACGGAGAGCUUGCUCUCCUGAUCAGUGGCGAACGGGUGAGUAACACGUGGGCAACCAGCCCAGACUUCGGGAUAACGCUUCGAAAGAGGUGCUAAUACCGAAUACGAACCUCCCUGGCAUCUGGGAGGUUGGAAAGUUUUCGGUCUGGGAUGGGCCCGCGGCCUAUCAGCUUGUUGGUGAGGUAACGGCUCACCAAGGCGACGACGGGUAGCCGGCCUGAGAGGGCGACCGGCCACACUGGGACUGAGACACGGCCCAGACUCCUACGGGAGGCAGCAGUGGGGAAUAUUGCGCAAUGGGCGAAAGCCUGACGCAGCAACGCCGCGUGAGGGAUGACGGCCUUCGGUUGUAACCUACUUCUAGCAGGAGAAGCGAAGUAGACGGUACCUGCAGAAGAAGACACCGGCUAACUACGUAGCCAGCAGCCGCGGUAAU
rnacentral:rRNA from 1 species